rnacentral:lncRNA from 1 species
UUGAGCUGCACCGGGGGAUGGCUGCAUAAGCAAAUAGUCAAGGCCAGCCCAGGGCAGCGAAGCACUGAGUCAUCAGGGAAAGGACUCUAAUAGCAGCUUCAACCGACCAGCUCCUACGUUUCAAAGGCAGCAGCUAGAAAGAACACAAGACCGCAGUUUUCAAAGUCAAAAUUAAAUUAGCUGAAAGUAUGCAUGAGUUCAGUUCCUAGC